GAUGAAGAACGUAGCGAAAUGCGAUAAGUAAUGUGAAUUGCAGAAUUCAGUGAAUCAUCGAAUCUUUGAACGCACAUUGCGCCCGCCAGUAUUCUGGCGGGCAUGCCUGUUCGAGCGUCAUUACAACCCUCAGGCCCCCGGGCCUGGCGUUGGGGAUCGGCGGAAGCCCCCUGCGGGCACAACGCCGUCCCCCAAAUACAGUGGCGGUCCCGCCGCAGCUUCCAUUGCGUAGUAGCUAACACCUCGCAACUGGAGAGCGGCGCGGCCACGCCGUAAAACACCCAACUUCUGAAUGUUGACCUCGAAUCAGGUAGGAAUACCCGCUGAACUUAAGCAUAUCAAUAGCGGAGA
rnacentral:misc_RNA from 1 species